rnacentral:rRNA from 1 species
CAAGGCUCGUUAAGACUAGAUGGGGUAUCCCUACAUGGCGGGUGGGACCCAGGGCGAACGGUUCAUCAAGACUUAAAAAAAGAAUAUAUACGAUUGCAUUGCAUAUACUAACGGAUGCGAUCAUACCAGCACUAAUGCACCGGAUCCCAUCAGAACUCCGCAGGUAAGCGUGAUUGGGUGAGAGUAGUAACUAGGAUGGGUGACCUCCCGGGAAGUCCUCGUGUUGCAUCCUUCUUUUUUUUUUUUUUUUUUUUGGUUAAAACUUUAUGACUCCAUAACUUCUACACCG